rnacentral:rRNA from 1 species
AACAAACGCUGGCGGCGUGCCUAACACAUGCAAGUCGAACGAGAAAGUCGGUUUCGGCCGAUGAGUAAAGUGGCGCACGGGUGAGUAACGCGUGGAUAAUCUACCCUUUAGUCCGGAAUAACUUGCCGAAAGGUGAACUAAUACCGGAUGACAUCCCGGGUUCUCCGGAAACCGGGAUCAAAGAAGGCCUCUGCUUGCAAGCUUUUGCUGAAGGAUGAGUCCGCGUACCAUUAGCUAGUUGGUGGGUAAUGGCCUACCAAGGUUAUGAUGGUUAGCUGGUCUGAGAGGAUGAUCAGCCACACUGGAACUGAAACACGGUCCAGACUCCUACGGGAGGCAGCAGUGAGGAAUAUUGCGCAAUGGGGGCAACCCUGACGCAGCAACGCCGCGUGAGUGGGGAAGGUUUUCGGAUUGUAAAGCUCUGUCGAGCGGAAAGAAAUGCACGAUGGCUAAUAUCCAUCAUGCUUGACGGUACCGCUAGAGGAAGCACCGGCUAACUCCG